AUAGAAUUUAAGUAAAAUGGUUCUAAAAAGUUUCCAAGGUGUCAGAUUACUUUAGAGAAUGGGUUUUAGAUUUUCAUCAGAAAAUAGGACUAGACUCUCGGGUUAAAUGGAUGAGUGUCCCAUUGACAUCUGUUCAAUGUAACCUUCUAACUUCUCAGACAGAAUGGAAAUGUCUUAGGAGAAGGACAGAUUUCACAGGUUAAAUCAUUUUGAAAUUUGACAAGGAGAGAAUGCCAAGGAUCAUGUAAAUAGAGCAUCAGAAAUAAAAAGAAUUGGCUUCGUUCU